GCGUACCAUGCCAGUCGAACGGAUUGUAGCAAUACAGCAGUGGCGCACGGGAUGAGUAACGCGAUGGAUAUCUGCCUUUUGGUUCGGAAUAACUCCGGGAAACUGGAGCUAAUACCGGAUGGUUCCUACGGGAUAAAGAUUUAUCGCCAAAAGAUGAGUCCGCGUACGAUUAGCUAGUUGGUGAGGUAAUGGCUCACCAAGGCGACGAUCGUUAGCUGGUCUGAGAGGACGAUCAGCCACACUGGGACUGAGACACGGCCCAGACUCCUACGGGAGGCAGCAGUGGGGAAUAUUGGACAAUGGGGGCAACCCUGAUCCAGCCAUGCCGCGUGAGUGAUGAAGGCCUUCGGGUUGUAAAGCUCUUUUGGCGGGGACGAUGAUGACGGUACCCGCAGAAUAAGCCCCGGCUAACUUCGUGCCAGCAGCCGCGGUAAGACGAAGGGGGCUAGCGUUGUUCGGAAUUACUGGGCGUAAAGCGAGUGUAGGUGGUUGUCAUAGUCAGGUGUGAAAGCCUUGAGCUCAACUCAAGAAAUGCACUUGAUACUGGGCGACUACAGGACCGGAGAGGAUAGUGGAAUUCCCAGUGUA
rnacentral:rRNA from 1 species